rnacentral:rRNA from 1 species
GACGAACGCUGGCGGCGUGCUUAACACAUGCAAGUCGAACGGUGAAGCGCCUUCCUUUUUGGUGGGUGUGGAUGAGUGGCGAACGGGUGAGUAACACGUGAGUAACCUGCCCCCUUCUUCUGGAUAACCGCAUGAAAGUGUGGCUAAUACGGGAUAUUCUGGGUCUGUCGCAUGAUGGGUCUGGGAAAGAUAUUGUUUCGGUGGGGGAUGGGCUCGCGGCCUAUCAGCUUGUUGGUGGGGUGAUGGCCUACCAAGGCGGUGACGGGUAGCCGGCCUGAGAGGGUGGACGGUCACACUGGGACUGCGACACGGACCAGACUCCUACGGGAGGCAGCAGUGGGGAAUAUUGCACAAUGGGCGCAAGCCUGAUGCAGCGACGCCGCGUGAGGGAUGGAGGCCUGCGGGUUGUGAACCUCUUUCGCCAGUGAAGCAGGCCUGCCUCGUUUGUGGGUGGGUUGACGGUAGCUGGAUAAGAAGCGCCGGCUAACUACGUG